rnacentral:rRNA from 1 species
UAAAAUAUAUUUUUAAAUAAGAAUUUCUCGAAUUUGAAGGGGCUAAGAGUAUAUAUGUAUUAUUGUGGAAUAACUAUUUAGAAUAUACUUUUUGUAAUGAAACGUUAGUCGUUUUCUAAUAUAUCUAGUUUCUUAAGAAAUUAAUUUAAUUAAGUUGGCUUGGAAUUUAUUUAAAUAUUAAAGUAACUUUGUGGCUGGGAAAUGUUUAAAGGGAUAAGCUUUUGAACAUAUUUUUAAAACAGAUAAUUUUUAUUAAGGUAAAAUAGGAAUAGAAGUUUUCAUUUUGGGAAGUGAGUUGUAUCAGGAUUUUAAUAAGGAGUAAUUUUUAGUAGUUUAAAUUUUUUAUUAAGGAAAAUUAAUUAAUUGUGCAUUAGUUGUUAUAAUGAUGGAAUUAGUAUAUUUUUGUGUAAAUUUAAUUGGAUUUUGAAAGGUUAAAUUGAGGAACUCGGCAAAUAAGCUCUUUGCCUGUUUAAUAAAAACAUGGCUUUUUGGGAAUAAUAUAAGGUCUGGCCUGCCCAAUGAUAAGUUGAAUGGCCGCGGUACUCUGACCGUGCAAAGGUAGCAUAAUCAUUAGUUUUUUAAUUGAAAGCUGGAAUGAACGGUCGGACAAGGGAGCAGCUGUCUUUAUUUAAAUUGUAGAAUUUUAUUUUUGAGUAAGAAAGCUUAAAUGAUUUUGAGGGACGAGAAGACCCUAUAGAAUUUUAUAAUAUUUUUUGAGCUGAUUUUUAAGGUUGUUUUGGUUGGCUUAGGAAUAAUUUAUUUUGUUGGGGUGAUGGAAAAAUUUAUUUAACUUUUUUUAGGUUGAUUUUCACUGUUUUGUGAAUUGUUGAUCCACGUUUUGUGAUUAUAAGAUUAAAUUACCUUAGGGAUAACAGCGUUAUUAGUUUGGAGAGUUCUUAUCGAUAGACUAGUUUGCGACCUCGAUGUUGGAUUAAAAUGAACUUGUGGUGUAGGGGCUACAGGGUUAAGUCUGUUCGACUUUUAAAAUUUU